rnacentral:misc_RNA from 1 species
AAGUCGUAACAAGGUUUCCGUAGGUGAACCUGCGGAAGGAUCAUUAGAAAAUUUUGGGUUUUCUCAAAUCCUUAUACUCACCUGUGCACUGUUUAAUGUCUAUACUUUCCUGGUUCUGUAAGCUGAAAGACUAAUAGUCUGAAAGCUUUUGAUGUGGUUCUUUGAUUGGUUUGAAGGUUAAUUCGAAUUGAUCUUUUGACUACAAUCAGACCAGGAAAGUUUUUCAAACUCUAAUAAUUUACCUAGUCUGAUUUAAAUAUCCACUUGGAUAUUCUGAAGAAUUUGGAAAUACAACUUUCAACAAUGGAUCUCUUGGCUCUC